GCGGAGGAAAAGAAACCAACAGGGAUUGCCCUAGUAACGGCGAGUGAAGCGGCAACAGCUCAAAUUUGAAAUCUGGCGCAAGCCCGAGUUGUAAUUUGUAGAGGAUGCUUCUGGGUAGCGGCCGGUCUAAGUUCCUUGGAACAGGACGUCAUAGAGGGUGAGAAUCCCGUAUGUGACUGGCUUGCACCCUCCACGUAGCUCCUUCGACGAGUCGAGUUGUUUGGGAAUGCAGCUCUAAAUGGGAGGUAAAUUUCUUCUAAAGCUAAAUACCGGCCAGAGACCGAUAGCGCACAAGUAGAGUGAUCGAAAGAUGAAAAGCACUUUGGAAAGAGAGUUAAAAAGCACGUGAAAUUGUUGAAAGGGAAGCGCCCGCAACCAGACUUUGCGGCAGUGUUCGGCCGGUCUUCUGACCGGUUUACUCGCUGUCGUGAGGCCAUCAUCGUCUGGGACCGCUGGAUAAGACCUUAGGAAUGUGGCUCCCCUCGGGGAGUGUUAUAGCCUCUGGUGAUGCAGCGCGUCUCGGGCGAGGUCCGCGCUUCGGCAAGGAUGAUGGCGUAAUGGUUGUCGGCGGCCCGUCUUGAAACACGGACCAAGGAGUCUAACAUCUAUGCGAGUGUUCGGGUGUCAAACCCCUACGCGUAAUGAAAGUGAACGGAGGUGGGAACUUUUUGUGCACCAUCGACCGAUCCUGAUGUCCUCGGAUGGAUUUGAGUAAGAGCAUAGCUGUUGGGACCCGAAAGAUGGUGAACUAUGCCUGAAUAGGGUGAAGCCAGAGGAAACUCUGGUGGAGGCUCGCAGCGGUUCUGACGUGCAAAUCGAUCGUCAAAUUUGGGUAUAGGGGCGAAAGACUAAU
rnacentral:rRNA from 1 species